rnacentral:rRNA from 1 species
CAAGGCGCCCGCCGGAGGCCACAAACUCUUCUGUUUUUACAGUUUCUUCUGAGUGUGCCGCAAGGCAGUAUACAAAUGAAUCAAAACUUUCAACAACGGAUCUCUUGGUUCUGGCAUCGAUGAAGAACGCAGCGAAAUGCGAUAAGUAAUGUGAAUUGCAGAAUUCAGUGAAUCAUCGAAUCUUUGAACGCACAUUGCGCCCGCCAGAAUUCUGGCGGGCAUGCCUGUUCGAGCGUCAUUUCAACCCUCGAGCUCCCCUUUCGGGGGGAGCCCGGCGUUGGGGACCCGGCGCUAACAACGCCGGCCCCGAAAUGGAGUGGCGGCCCGUCCGCGGCGACCUCUGCGUAGUAACAACCACUCGCACCGGGACCCGGGCGCGGCCACGCCGUAAAACACCCCACCUUCCGAAUGUUGACCUCGAAUCAGGUAGGAAUACCCGCUGAACUUAA